CCUACGGGUGGCAGCAGUGAGGAAUAUUGGUCAAUGGGCGCGAGCCUGAACCAGCCAAGUAGCGUGAAGGAUGACUGCCCUACGGGUUGUAAACUUCUUUUAUAAAGGAAUAAAGUGAGGCACGUGUGCCUUUUUGUAUGUACUUUAUGAAUAAGGACCGGCUAACUCCGUGCCAGCAGCCGCGGUAUUACGGAGGAUCCGAGCGUUAUCCGGAUUUAUUGGGUUUAAAGGGAGCGUAGAUGGGUUGUUAAGUCAGUUGUGAAAGUUUGCGGCUCAACCGUAAAAUUGCAAUUGAUACUGGCAGGCUUGAGUACAGUUGAGGUAGGCGGAAUUCGUGGUGUAGCGGUGAAAUGCUUAGAUAUCACGAAGAACUCCGAUUGCGAAGGCAGCUUACUAAACUGCCACUGACAUUGAUGCUCGAAAGUGUGGGUAUCAAACAGGAUUAGAUACCCGGGGUC
rnacentral:rRNA from 1 species